GGGGUAGUCAUCCUGUUUUGCAUGUGUCUAUAUGUAGUCAUCCUGUCUCCAUCUUAGCAAUGCUAUGAUAUGACAAACAGGGGUUGUGUUAUGGAAUUCAGUUAGCAAUGCUUUGAUAAAUAUUUGAGAUAAAAAGAUUACCGAGCCUCACUUUGCUAAAUAUUUGAGAUCUUAUAAACAUAUUUGCAUAACUAUUGUUUUGUUGUUUCCAUGAAAUUCUGCACGUAGCGUCUUGAAGAGACCAAUCUAUAUUUAGCUGAGCUAUGCGAAGUUGCAACCCUCACUAUCUCCACGAGAGCGUUUAUAGUUUUUAUUGCCAUGUGGAAACUUUGUGUAUGAAGUUAUGGCACCGCAAAUACUCCCCAUGUGUGCGCGCGCGCAUGCGGUGCCUAGGGUAGGUAGUAGAGUACUUCAUAUACCUGUACUAUUCAUGCUUCAACUUUGGGGUAGUUUUCAUGUGCAUACAACAUAUUGGACCUUGCAGGACCCUCUUGGCAUCCUGUUGCUGGAAAAAAACUACACAGCCGAAUCGUUUUUUUAUUUCUGAAACAAGAUUUCUAUUGCACAAGCCUUCUGAAACAGGAUAGUGUUUUCCAUUUCUUAAAGCUCAAAUCUUGUUGCGCAAAAUUGUAGAUCAAAAUUAGUGUCUACAUGUCCUGGAUACCUAGCUAGCUAUGUUCCAGUUUGACAAUCAACUUUGUAGAUUCUCAGUUUGACAAAGUUUUUAUAAGAUGUUUAAUUUUUGGAUGGAACAAAAAAGGAAGCAUAGUUGAAAUGCAAUGCAAUCAGACUUGUAAAGGUCUUGCAUUGCACAAAAUGCUAAGGAUGAGGCCAGAAGAAGGUUCAAUGAAGUGAAAAAAUUACUCCGUACUUGGUCUGCAUGCAGUGAUCGACUACUGGUCUGCUUGUCAGUUGUUCUGUUUCCCACAGAAGCUGCAUCUUUCUAGAAGCUGCUACAUCAGAUUAACCUGGGAAUGAAUCUCAUAACUUCUAUUCUGAUGAGCACUAUCUGCCAACCUUAUUUAAUAUGGUUGAUCCAACCGGAGUCACGAAUUGGUCAGUGACACGUGUUGAUUGCUCUGAAGGAAAAUGACAUCCUAAAGUUUAUAGGGCUGUUGACACAAGCUUUGAACUGCUUAAAAGUAUAGCGGUGAGCUGAGCAUGCAUUGGAUGUAAAUUUUUAUUGCAUGUAUGAGCAUGCGUUGGAUGUA